ACUAUUUUGUCAGAAAAGUGAAAUAAAUUUAGAAUUUAUUAAUAUAUAAUAAAAUUAUAUAAAUAGUA
rnacentral:tRNA from 1 species